CCGACCUUAGCUCAGUUAGUAGAGGAGGACUGUAGUUGAUUAAUCUAAAUUGGAAAUUAGGUCGCUGGUUCGAAUCCGGCAGGUCGGA
rnacentral:tRNA from 1 species